UGCCCAGCAACUCCUAUCCCUACCUCUUCGUGGUACCGGUCGGAAACUAUGAGCAACCUUACGGAAGAUCGGGUAACCAACCCCCGGUGGGAACUUUGGUCAUAGGCUGACAGGGAAGG
rnacentral:ribozyme from 1 species